rnacentral:rRNA from 1 species
UACGGAGGAUGCAAGCGUUAAUCGGAAUUACUGGGCGUAAAGCGUGCGCAGGCGGUUUGUUAAGUCUGCUGUGAAAUCCCCGAGCUCAACUUGGGAAUUGCAGUGGAUACUGGCAGGCUGGAGUAUGGUAGAGGAAGGUGGAAUUCCCGGUGUAGCAGUGAAAUGCGUAGAGAUCGGGAGGAACACCAGUGGCGAAGGCGGCCUUCUGGACCAAUACUGACGCUCAUGCACGAAAGCGUGGGGAGCAAACAGG